UUGAAGCAUCCUGGUCUUGGGUUUUUGUUUUUUUUUUCCUCGUUAAGUGAGCGUGACUAAAGAGGACAGUUCUUGCCGAAGGUUCCCAUCAAAUCAUUUAGUUAGAAUCAAGAAGACUUUGUGAAACCCCUAACAUCUGUAUCCACAUCCCACAUGACUUCUCAAAUGGCAUUGAAUUGUCAAGCAAUCAGAAGUAAAGCCUGGAAGACCUGAAAAAAAUUAAUAAAUU